GAAAGAGAGGAAAAGAUAUCAGCAAACCCUUGGAAGCUUUGUCUGCAGUCUGAAAGCCAAAGCUCUGCUUUUUCUGGUUUAUGCCUCAUCAGUCAUGAAGAUUUUGCAGUGAGAGCUGAGUUGAUGCCAAUGCUGAUGGAGAACCCGAGCAGGAGGUGCUACAAGACAGAAGGAUGCAAGAAUUCUGGCAAGAUCCAUGAGAAAAAGGUAAUAACAUCUUUUCUGAACAAUAUGGGACUUUAUGCACUUUUUUGGCCUCGACUCAGGACAACAGUGGAAACUCAAGAGUAGAUGUCUGUCCACAUGGUUGGCUGAAAAUUCAGCUUUGUGAUGCACGUGAUGUCUCCCCUCUGCCAGCCUGACAAACCUUGGAGAGGAGAUGAUCACUUUGCCUCCAGGUGUUGCUUUCUCAUUGCUCCUGUGCAAAAAGCUGAAUACACGGGGGCAGAACAGCAGUGUGAUGCCGAGAGCCUCAGGAGGAAGGUUGUUUUGCUUGGAAUUUAUUCACCAGAAAGGUCAACUCCAGACACAACAUCUGUUUUCCACUGUGAUUCUGAUUUCACUACAUAAUUUGGAAGAAGCUUGGACAAGGUGAGAAAACAGCUAGCUGGAAGGAGAACCAUUAUGGAAUAGGACGUUUACAGUUAUUAAGCUGGAGAAUAAAUCCUUCAGUAAGAGAAGGAUACAAAGUGCUGCUGCUGCUCUGGCCUGGUUCUAAUGACCCUUUCUGCAGUUGCUGGUAAAAUUCAUGGAUCAAGACCUUUUGGAAAAUCACAGGUUUUUUCAUGCAGGACUUGACCCAAACCUAAUUACAAUCGAUUACUCCAUCUGCUAUUUAAGUUAAAAUGAGUACUGGAAAGAAGAUAUCAGACAAAAGGAUGUGAGAAAAUUUCAGCUAAGAAGAAAUUUUGGAACUCUGUGGUUCGGAAAUGUCUGCUUACCAGCACUUCAUUAUUGCUGGCAACAUUUUCACAUCUUAGGCGUGUGAACCCCUUUUUAAAUGUGUAUUCCCUGAACAGUGGAUUUUGAAAGCCUGUCAGAAAAAUCAACCCUUUUAACAGCAUUUAAAUCUGUACUCAGCCUUUAAUAUUACUGAAAUCUCUGUGGGACUUAAACUUAUCCUUAAAUGCUGCCCCUAGGAGAAAUUUUCCUGAGGAACUAAUUUUCUGAAACAUGGCCUAUAAAUGUGCCGAAAAACAGCAAAGCGUCUUUGUCUUCCCAUUUCCCGACCCUCAGACCAAUUAUAAAAACAUUGAUUUUUAAAAGUUCUUCCAAACGAGCUCUUUUCCUGUCAGAGCGUGUCACACGUGUCAGUCACAUUUCAAGCCACGGAUUUGAAAACCGACCUGCAGAAGCAGCCACCUUUGUCAUAAAUUUAACUUGACAGCUUCUCUGCAGGGUUUUCAAUUAGGAUCUUUUUUUUUAAUGAAAAAAGAAAAGAAGAAUGAAAUGUCAGCCCAAAUGCACUGAGCAAAUGCUGCUGUAUGGGAGGCCUACAUGUACUGUUUUCUUCUUCAGACUCCAGGAUGAUCAGGAACAUAAAAUGCCAAGUUUGGGAUGAAAAGAACUUUAAAAACUCUCAUUUCGGGCACAUAAAAUAGCUGGUUUUGCUAUCUGAGGGGCCAGGCGGCUCUGAGGGCCUGGUUGGCUUCGCUGAGGGCUGAGGGCCGGAGGCUGAGGGGUGGAUCUGUGACACUGUCCGUAAUCCCAGGUUUUUCAUUUAAGACUCAGUACUCCUGAUGGAGGAAGUUUAAAAAAAAAAUCAUAAUUCAGUGCUGGUUGCCAGAAGCUCGGAUUCUGAGGCGGCAGGAGCUGGUGUGCCUGGAAAAAGGUGAAACUCAGGCUGGGUAAAAGGUGCCUUUGCCUCACAGUGUCCAUUUGAUAAUUGUAUGGGCUUGUGGGAGCUGCAGUCCCUGGAAGCUCUCCUCCCACAGCUGCCUCCCAGGGAAACCAAAUACCUAUGGAUUUGGGGAAUCCCAGAAGUCUGUGAUUCUGUGAAAACCCUGGCUAGUUUUUAAGUCAAAAGAGAGCCCGUCUGACCCUGCCUCAGGAUUGCCGCCAUGAUAGGACGUGUCAGCUGUGGUAAAUGCUACAGUCCCGGCUCCAGAACUCCGGAAAGUUUCCUCACGAACUGUGGAGAGAAAAUGUGUAUAGCUCAAAAAGUGGUAAAACUACCCUUGAAGUAGUCAUUAAAUGUGAAUUGAUUAAAUGAUUUCUGCCUGAAUCGUCAGCAAGUAUUAAGCACAAAGAGUGUGUGUAUGUGAGGAGGAGGCAGGAGCCCCACGUCCAGGCCAGUUCCUGAAAUCACACUGACUUUAUCACUGGAACAUGACUGGAAAACUGAUAAAAACACUUUGGAGAGACACAAGGGAUGAAUGUGCAAAGGAGGCCAUGUAACAUCCCACACAGACUGUCUUCGAAUAUGUCCCACACCAACAUUCCUCAUCCACUGCCUCUGGGUCUUCUGUUGAAGCUGUAACUGUGACACCAUAACAAGGAAGACAUCAAAGGAUCCAAGUCUCAAGGAGGACUUCUAAAAGCACCAAGGCACCUACUUUUGUGACUCUUCACAUCUUUCAGGUUUGCAAGGUACUUUUUGGACAAGCAGAAGAGUAAAGACUUGAUGAAGUCAGGCAGUAAAAGGAGAGGGAAUGAAGGCAGAACUGGAGGAGAAGUGAUAAACCCACGUGAAGAAACCAUCUACACAAAACAGCCCUGCACAUAC